rnacentral:rRNA from 1 species
GUGACCUCAAAUCAGGUAGGACUACCCGCUGAACUUAAGCAUAUCAAUAAGCGGAGGAAAAGAAACUAACAAGGAUUCCCCUAGUAACUGCGAGUGAAGCGGGAAAAGCUCAAAUUUAAAAUCUGGCAGUCUUUUGGCUGUCCGAGUUGUAAUCUAGAGAAGUGUUAUCCGCGCUGGACCAUGUACAAGUCUCCUGGAAUGGAGCAUCAUAGAGGGUGAGAAUCCCGUCUUUGACAUGGACUUCCAGGGCUUUGUGAUGCGCUCUCAAAGAGUCGAGUUGUUUGGGAAUGCAGCUCAAAAUGGGUGGUAAAUUCCAUCUAAAGCUAAAUAUUGGCGAGAGACCGAUAGCGAACAAGUACCGUGAGGGAAAGAUGAAAAGAACUUUGGAAAGAGAGUUAAACAGUACGUGAAAUUGCUGAAAGGGAAACGCUUGAAGUCAGUCGCGUCGUCCAGGGAUCAACCUUGCUUUUGCUUGGUGCACUUCCUGGUUUGAUGGGUCAGCAUCAAUUUUGACUAUUGGAAAAAGGUUAAGGGAAUGUGGCAUCUUUGGAUGUGUUUAUAGCCCUUGGUCACAUACAAUGGUUGGGAUUGAGGAACUCAGCACG